CUGAGUGAGCGCCCUCGGGCGCGACCUCCAACCCUUUGUUAUCCAACCAUGUUGCCUCGGGGGCGACCCGGCCUUCGGGCGUUGGGGCCCCCGGUGGACCCCUCAACUCUGCAUCUUUGCGUCUGAGUAUGAUAUUGAAUCAAUCA
rnacentral:misc_RNA from 1 species